GACGAACGCUGGCGGCGUGCUUAACACAUGCAAGUCGAACGGAAAGGCCCUGCUUGCAGGGUACUCGAGUGGCGAACGGGUGAGUAACACGUGGGUGAUCUGCCCUGCACUUCGGGAUAAGCCUGGGAAACUGGGUCUAAUACCGGAUAGGAGCCAUUUUUAGUGUGAUGGUUGGAAAGUUUUUUCGGUGUAGGAUGAGCUCGCGGCCUAUCAGCUUGUUGGUGGGGUAAUGGCCUACCAAGGCGGCGACGGGUAGCCGGCCUGAGAGGGUGGACAGCCACAUUGGGACUGAGAUACGGCCCAGACUCCUACGGGAGGCAGCAGUGGGGAAUAUUGCACAAUGGGCGCAAGCCUGAUGCAGCGACGCCGCGGGGGGGAUAACGACCUUCGGGUUGUAAACUCCUUUCGCUAGGGACGAAGCUGUUUGUGACGGUACCUAGAGAAGAAGCACCGGCUAACUACGUG
rnacentral:rRNA from 1 species